ensembl:lncRNA
CAUUUUCUCUGCAAAGGGCUGGGACACCACAGAGCUAAUUUAGGUGUAGCAAGCUCAGGGAUGCAGGCUCCCAGCUUACAAAUCUUUCAGUAGCUCUGCUCACAUUAUGAUAUAUUUACAAGGCAUAGCACUUGUCCACAGAGAAAAGAAAAUAGAGGAGAUCUAAGAGAUUAUGAUCUUUCCCUGUGCUCUGACGUUAUUUCUCACCUAUGGCAGUUACUUCUCUGCUAGUAGCAGCUAUCGCUAUUUCUGUAGCACAAAGUAAAAUAGAACCAACAUUAGGGACGUAUUGUAGGACACCACUUCUGACAUCCCUACAACAUUCUUUCUAGCCACAGCGACACGUGGAAUGGAAAACACGAGGUAUUUAGCUCUGCCAUUAUGAAGGAGCAACACCAGGAGCAACAUCUUACAAUAGGGUGUCUGUCUCUCACCCGGGGGACCUUGAUAUCAGUUGAAAAUGCAGCCUACACAUAUGAGAAGAGCUCCAGAGCAUGAAAACUACAGCUCUCAUCUUGAGGUCCGGCAUGCUAUGGAGCCCUGUGUCUAUGUGUGCGCACAUUUGCUUCAGUCAGACUCUGCCUGCAGAUGAUAACAGCAUCGCAAAAGCCAGACAAAGACAAGAAAUAUGAAGCAGCAGAAGCAGAGAAAAGACUGUGGGGAAAGGGGCAGGGGGAGAAGGAAACAAACAAAUAAAAGAAAAAGACAUUUACUUCCCCUCAUUUAAAGACCAUGGAAGCCAGGCAAGUGAGAGACCAUGGCAUAAGCCCUACUUUCCUGAGUAUGUGUGACAAUGUCAGGGAGGGUGAGGGACAUUGUGUAGACUCCCUGUACUGUGAAGGUUUAUUCUCCAUAACUCACGGAACAGCAGGAAAUUUCCAGAGGAUUGACAGAAAGCUUGUCUUGAGCUAAUAUUUUAAAAAGGUAAAGGAGACGACCCAGGUAAUUAUAGGCUUGUCAGCCUGACAUCGAUCCCAGGUAAAAUAAUGGAGCAGCUAAUAGGGGGAAUAUAAUUCACGCCCCUCAGCAGGGGUUUAUGGAAAACAAACCCUGUCAAAUGAACUUAAUAUCUUUCUUUGCCUCAAUUACAAGUUUGGUAGAUGAAGCCAACAGGGUUGAUGAAAAAAUACUUAGACUUCUCCAAAGCAUUCAGCUUGGUAUCACGCACCACUUGGGUUUAAAUAUUAAAACAAUACAGAGCCAACGGGGUAUGUAGCAAAUGGAACAAACUGACAGAUGACUCCGAAAAUAUGACUGAACAGAAAAUGCUGUCAUCCUGAUGGUGUGGUACGCGUUGGGACCUACAAGGUCUGGUGGAUGUCAUUGUGGUACUUUACAUUCAUACCUGUAAUUUACUAAAAUCUGUUACUGAAAACUGUGAUAUCGCUAAGAAUGGAAGGGUGGAAAUUUGCAAGGAGAGAUCACUGAUAUGGGCACAUUUUUAAUUUCAGCAUCAAGUAAGGUAGAAUUGGGAAAAAAAAAAAAAUUAUUUGAAUCAUAUGUGAAGACACCUAGGAACAGAAAAUGUAGGCAGUGUUUAGAGGACAGGGAACAGGGGAAAAUGUUUGCAAAAAUAAGUUAUGAACUUCAGUUUGUCAAGCAGAAAAUGUCCAGUGCAACUCUGACCAAAAACACUUGAUCAAAUAUUUUAUUAGGGCCAUUUCUGAGGGCAGUAAAGAGGCAAUUCUAUCUUUUCUUUGAAACUGGUGUAACCAUACCAGGAACUCAGACUGCUCAGCUCAAGAAACAGUGAUGAGUCAGAGAUGCUCUAGAGGAGACUGAGGAGUGUUCCUGGGAUCAGCAAACCUCCUUUCAAUGCACGACUCCAAUAGCCGGUGUUUUCUCUGCCAGAGUGAUGGCUGCAAGGGUGAUCCUCCCACCAUCCAUCAGCAUCCAGCAGAGAAGAACAUUUCCAAGGGUCAAUAGCCAUAUUACUUUUUUAUUUCUGUGGAUUCUCGAGCAGCUCCUUGCUGAGCAAUACCUGCUUCUGAAGCUGGUCUUUGAUGCAUGAUUCUGCUCCUGGUACUUAUCUCCUAUGUCUAUUGGAAACUAACAUUUACUUGUCCACUGCAUCAGGACACUGUGAGAACAACUAAGAUAACAGUUGAAAAGUGCUGCCUUGGUGCCAACUCAAUAUAUAGUUAUGUAUUUUAUUACUGUGUUUGCUCAGCACCAAGAAAACUGCAGUUUUCCCCUUGCCCCAAAUGACUUUUUUCACUUGAGAGGCACCAGGAAAGGCUCAAGAUAACUGGAGAAACUCUCACAAAACCUUGCUGCUAGGAAUACUAAUGUCCACCAAUCACUGCCCAGUUGCGUACCCUGUACUGUGGUUUAAGUCAUCAUACCAAGGUGAACUAGCACAGGUGGUUGUGUGUUAUUAAUUAAUUA